UACGUAGGGGGCAAGCGUUGUCCGGAUUUAUUGGGCGUAAAGCGCUCGCAGGUGGUUCGUCGCGUCGUGCGUGAAAGACCCCGGCUCAACUGGGGGAGGUCGUGCGAUACGGGCGGACUGGAGGCCAGUAGGGGGAUGCGGAAUUCCGGGUGUAGUGGUGGAAUGCGUAGAGAUCCGGAGGAACGACCAGCGGCGAAGGCGGGAUUGCUGGGCUGGACACUGACGCUGAAGUGCGAAAGCUAGGGGAGCGAACGGG
rnacentral:rRNA from 1 species